rfam:Schistosoma curassoni strain Dakar, Senegal genome assembly, scaffold: SCTD_scaffold0008186
AUCCAGCUGAUGAGUCCCAAAUAGGAUGAAACGCGCGCCUUGGAU